ensembl:lncRNA
GGGCAGCCCGCGUCUUUGUGUGCCCUCCGCAGCCUGCCCGUGCCUGGCCACAGGCCCUCAGCCAUCGACUCCCCCGCGUCCGACCUCCCAAGAGCCCGGCUGGGGAUCGUGUGUGGGCAAAGAGCCGCUGCAGGCACGGUGGGGGGAGGGGGUGUCCAGGCAGACUUCCUGGAGGAGGGGAGACGGCUAAGGAGAGAAAAAUGGAGUGGGUCUCCCGAGACCAGAGGGGCCCCCGUUUCCUCCAGCAGUGCUGGCCUCGAGCCCCUGGAAAACAUGCACUCGUACUUUCCACCCAGCCUGGAGGGGCUUCAGUAAAAGCUGGAGGAGCUGCAGUAAAGCCUGUCUGCCAGACUUAGAGAACAGCUUGGCACAAGGCUGACAAAGACUGAGGAGGCUCCCACCGCUGUCUUACUUCUGGGCACCCUUCUUCCUGGCCAGCCAGGGCUCGGAGCCAAGGCAAGAAGAGCCAGGUGUCCCACAGCCUGGUCCUUCCGGGAGGCCCCUCGGCCUUCCCACCUCUGAGAACAUUAGGCCUUUGAGACGUGCCCCCGGCCUGCCCCCAACACCCCCGGCCUGACAAUGGGGGCUUCAGAGGGGAUGGGUGGCAGGACACAGCCCCCUCUGUGAACUGGAGCCGCCCGCCAAGCUGGUGAGCCUCUGAGGACACAUUCCUCACGGGGCAGGGAAGGACGAGGGGAGGGGGCUGGGCAUCAGCCCCUCGGCCUCGCCCUGACCCGAAGAGCUGUCAUCUCUGGGGGAUUGGACAAAGGUCCCCUCUUCCUGCUCUCUGCCUCUUGGUGCCCACCCGGGAAAUGGUGCCAAUCGGGCCAAGAAGGAAAGCAUGAGGCUGGGAUAGGGUAGGGGUCACCUCCAGGUUUGAAUAUAGCAGCCAUAGCACUGUGGGGGGGAAGUGGGGCAGGCUGGGCAGGCAGCCAGCGGAGAGAGUCUGCUGGAGUGUGUGGUGGCCCUGAGGGCAUCCUUGCUGUCUUCUCUGCAUCCCCAUCCCCAGCCCUCUGGACCAUCUCUUGGGCAACAUCUCCAUCAUUCUCAAAAUUCUCCUCUUCCUCUUGGGUCUUCUUGGAUUAAUGGGGGAGUGGGGAUGGCUUCACUCAACCCCACUCAGUGUGAGGAAAGGAAUUUCAACACCAUGUGACAAUCCUCUUCCCUCAUCAAGAUUGGUGUCCAGAUAGCCACGUCCCUUACCCCUGGCAGGAGGAAGAUGUCUGAACCAGGAAGCCCAACUUUCCCCAGCAGCCCCAUCUCCCCUCAGGACUUAGCUCACCACUAAAGUGAACUGAGCCAUCCCCACAGGCUGGACCUCUACAACAUCACCUCACUCAGUCCUCUCACAGCCGAGGACCAUCACUGUUCCCAAGACGUGACCCAAGGUCAUGCAGGUAGGAAAUAGACGAGCCAGGAUCUGGAUCCAAGCUGUGUGACCCCUGAGAGUCAUUCACUUGAAGCAGAAGCUCAGGAAUGAUACCCUAAUCCCUGUGCCAGGCCAGUGGUUCCAGAACCAGUGACUGCUUGACUCCUACAGAGGAUUCUUGCUGGUGAAGGUUACAAGGAGGAUAGAAAGAUGAGACCGGUACUGAUGAAGAAUGUGUUGAUGAAGAGGUUGGAUUCCUAGAAAUUCCUACAUGAGAGUCAUUAAGUUGUUCAUUCAUACAUUCCAUCAACCAUCUACAGAGCUCUGUAGAGCGCAGGGGUGAAGAAUGCGAGCCCUGGAGUCUGACAGACAGUCCAAACCCCAGCUCUGCUGUGAUUCACUGUGUGACUCUGGCAAGUUGCUUCGCCUCUCUGAGCCUCAGAUUCCACAUCAAUAAAAUGCAGAUGA